rnacentral:tRNA from 1 species
AAGAUUGUAGCUCAAUUGGUAGAGCAUAGAACUUCAAAUUCUGCGGCUGUAGGUUCAAGUCCUGCCAAUCUUG